rnacentral:rRNA from 1 species
CCUACGGGAGGCAGCAGUAGGGAAUAUUGGACAAUGGGGGCAACCCUGAUCCAGCCAUGCCGCGUGUGUGAAGAAGGCCCUCGGGUUGUAAAGCACUUUCAGUGAGGAAGAACGCCUGGUGGUUAAUACCCAUCAGGAAAGACAUCACUCACAGAAGAAGCACCGGCUAACUCCGUGCCAGCAGCCGCGGUAAUACGGAGGGUGCGAGCGUUAAUCGGAAUUACUGGGCGUAAAGCGCGCGUAGGUGGCUUGAUAAGCCGGUUGUGAAAGCCCCGGGCUCAACCUGGGAACGGCAUCCGGAACUGUCAAGCUAGAGUGCAGGAGAGGAAGGUAGAAUUCCCGGUGUAGCGGUGAAAUGCGUAGAGAUCGGGAGGAAUACCAGUGGCGAAGGCGGCCUUCUGGACUGACACUGACACUGAGGUGCGAAAGCGUGGGUAGCAAACAGGAUUAGAUACCCCUGUAGUC